UACGUAGGGGGCAAGCGUUGUCCGGAUUUAUUGGGCGUAAAGAGCGUGUAGGCGGCUUUGCAAGUCCGUUGUGAAAACUCGAGCUCAACCUCGAGACGCCGGUGGAAACUGCAAAGCUAGAGUCCGGAAGAGGAGAGUGGAAUUCCCGGUGUAGUGGUGAAAUGCGUAGAUAUCGGGAGGAACACCAGUGGCGAAGGCGACUACCUGGCCUGUUCUUGACGCUGAGGCGCGAAAGCUAGGGGAGCAAACGGG
rnacentral:rRNA from 1 species